rnacentral:rRNA from 1 species
UACGUAUGGUGCAAGCGUUAUCCGGAUUUACUGGGUGUAAAGGGGGCGCAGACGGCGAUGCAAGCCAGGAGUGAAAGCCCGGGGCCCAACCCCGGGACUGCUCUUGGAACUGCAUGGCUGGAGUACAGGAGGGGCAGGCGGAAUUCCUAGUGUAGCGGUGAAAUGCGUAGAUAUUAGGAGGAACACCGGUGGCGAAGGCGGCCUGCUGGACUGUGACUGACGUUGAGGCCCGAAGGCGUGGGGAGCAAACAGG